GGGUGUCGGACGCGAUGCGUCCGGUGAAAAGGGAAGCGGGUGCGAACCCCGCGCGAACUCGUCACUGUGAUCGGGGAAUGGAACGGGCAACAUGCCACUGGCAACGGGAAGGCCGCCUGUUUCGUGAAGAUCCGCAAGCCAGGAGACCUGCCCGUCU
rnacentral:ncRNA from 1 species